CCUACGGGCGGCAGCAGUGAGGAAUAUUGGUCAAUGGACGAGAGUCUGAACCAGCCAAGUCGCGUGAAGGAUGACUGCCCUAUGGGUUGUAAACUUCUUUUAUAUGGGAAUAAAAUGUUCCACGUGUGGGAUUUUGUAUGUACCAUAUGAAUAAGGAUCGGCUAACUCCGUGCCAGCAGCCGCGGUAAUACGGAGGGUCCGAGCGUUAUCCGGAUUUAUUGGGUUUAAAGGGAGCGUAGGUGGGUUGUUAAGUCAGUUGUGAAAGUUUGGGGCUCAACCGUAAAAUUGCAGUUGAAACUGGCAGUCUUGAGUACAGUAGAGGUGGGCGGAAUUCGUGGUGUAGCGGUGAAAUGCUUAGAUAUCACGAAGAACUCCGAUUGCGAAGGCAGUUCACUGGACUGCAACUGACACUGAGGCUCGAAAGUGUGGGUAUCAAACAGGAUUAGAUACCCUGGUAGUC
rnacentral:rRNA from 1 species